rnacentral:rRNA from 1 species
UAAUACGAAGGGACCUAGCGUAGUUCGGAAUUACUGGGCUUAAAGAGUUCGUAGGUGGUUAAAAAAGUUGGUGGUGAAAUCCCAGAGCUUAACUCUGGAACUGCCAUCAAAACUUUUUAGCUAGAGUAUGAUAGAGGAAAGUAGAAUUUCUAGUGUAGAGGUGAAAUUCGUAGAUAUUAGAAAGAAUACCAAUUGCGAAGGCAGCUUUCAGGAUCAUUACUGACACUGAGGAACGAAAGCAUGGGUAGCGAAGAGGAUUAGAUACCCUCGUAGUCCAUGCCGUAAACGAUGUGUGCUAGACGUUGGAAAUUUAUUUUCAGUGUCGCAGCGAAAGCGUUAAGCACACCGCCUGGGGAGUACGACCGCAAGGUUA